AAAAAAAAAAAUUGUAGGGAGUUGGAACGCUUGCCUAUGUUUGCCGCUAGGGGCGCUGUUCCAACUCCAUGAGUCAACUUUUACGCUA
rnacentral:pre_miRNA from 1 species